GCAUUUCCGUCUUUAUACAGUCGCGGGAGAGAGCCAGAACCAUCCUUCAGCAUGAACAAGCUUCUCAUUUUCGUGGCUCUAGCCUUGAUGCUUCAGUGUGUGAUGGCACAGGAUAUAAAAGGAGGGACUAAGAAUAAUACCACAGAGAGCUCAGCUCUGAGGAUGGCGCCGGCUCCAGUCCUGCUGCAGUUGGGAAUGACGAUGAUUCCGGCUCUUCUUUACAAGCUGCUCUGACGCCCCCCCUCACACAAACCCUGCCGCUUGAACACAGUGCCAACAAGAAAAUGAAUAUUUUGUUAUUGAUAUUACUCCUUUUACUUCUGUACUGAAAUACAUGAAUGUGUAUGAGAAAAGGAUCGCUUCAGCAUUAAAUAAAGGGUUACAUCAA